GAUGAAGAACGUAGCGAAAUGCGAUAAGUAGUGUGAAUUGCAGAAUUCCGUGAAUCAUUGAAUCUUUGAACGCACAUUGCGCCUCCUGGUAAUCUGUGAGGCAUGCCUGUCCGAGCGUCAGUAAAAAGCAACUCGGCCGUGGCUGGCGGUUGGUGAUGGAGGAAGAGCACGUCUCGUUGUCGGUCUCCCCUCCCAAAAUCAACGGCGGAAUGUCACUGGCACUCGGUGUUGUAGUAUUAUUCGCCGAUCACCCAUUGUUGUUCCUGCCGCCCAAACCCCCACAAUUCUCUUGAUUGACCUCGGAUCAGGUAGGGAUACCCGCUGAACUUAAGCAUAUCAAUAAGCGGAGGA
rnacentral:misc_RNA from 1 species